GUUCUUAGGGGUUGAGUAUAUAGACUGUUAGCUUGUGGUGCUAGAGGUUCAGAUUUGUUAUUUUGAUAAGAACA
rnacentral:tRNA from 1 species